GGAGCGGAUCCGGCUGGAUGAGGAAGCGGUCCCGAAAACCGCCGGGCCAUUGCGGUCUUGUGAGUUCGAGUCUCACCCGCUCCG
rnacentral:tRNA from 1 species